AAAAACUUAGGUUAACUAAACCAAGAGCCUUCAAAGCCCUAAAUAAGGACUCCCGCUUCCUUAGUUUUUGA
rnacentral:tRNA from 1 species